rnacentral:rRNA from 1 species
UACGUAGGUGGCAAGCGUUGUCCGGAAUUAUUGGGCGUAAAGCGCGCGCAGGCGGUUCCUUAAGUCUGAUGUGAAAGCCCCCGGCUCAACCGGGGAGGGUCAUUGGAAACUGGGGAACUUGAGUACUGAAGAGGAAAGCGGAAUUCCACGUGUAGCGGUGAAAUGCGUAGAGAUGUGGAGGAACACCAGUGACGAAGGCGGCUUUCUGGUCAGUAACUGACGCUGAGGCGCGAAAGCGUGGGGAGCAAACAGG